GUGACUGAGAGCAGCUAUAUCACAGGGCUCAAUCUAUUCUACCAUGGGAAGCUUGGAGAGCCCGAGAGGACUGGUCAACACUACAGGAACUGAGAAGUGUAAAGGGCAAAAACAAUCCAGUACAUCAUCCAUCGGACCUAAAACAAGGCGUGGGCGAUCAGCAGCUUCAGAAGAGUAGACCGAUAGGCGCGUAGGGACCUGUACUUCAACAACAGGCGGAGUGACACAGGCUGCACCCAUGUGCUCUAUUACAUGUUGUGGAGAAGGAAGAAAGGAGAAAAAUGGAUCCUUCUGCUGGCAAGUAUAAACGAUGGCUAAAAACACAACAUCUUUAGAAUGGAGCCAAGCUACAGUAAAAUAAAUAUCAAAAGUGCAAUUCAACUGGCUAAAUA